rnacentral:lncRNA from 1 species
ACUUCCCUCAACACUGAGAAUAAAUCCAGGAGAAGAUAAUUUCUCCUAAGGCGGAAAGUCCAUAUGGAAAUACAGCAAGAAGGCAGCCAUCUACUAUCCAUCUACGAGGAAGAGAGGCGGCUUCACCAGAACCGAGUCUGACAGCACCUUGAUCUUGGACUCCUAGCCUCCAGAACUCCUUAAGGAAAACAACUCUGAGGACUUUUGUCACGGACUUGAAAUUCUCAUCUGUGCUUGGACAAGACUCUGAAACAUACCAACUGUGUAUUUUCCUGCCUUUGAUAAUGAAGACCCCAGUGGAUUAUUAUUAGCAAAUGAAAACUGGAUAUCAAGAAGGGCAAAAUCUUCAACCUUAUCAGCAGAAAGAGUUUAUGUAAAAAUAUACCACAUAGAAUAACUAAAAAAAUAAGCAAGUGAUACCUUAUCUGAGCUCAAAAUAUCUGUUUCUUUGCAAAUGGAUAAAGGAUUUAUUAUAUUAUAGCACCUUGAGGACAGAGACUUUAUGUUUCUAACUACCCAUCCCAGCAUCAUCUAGUUCAUUCCUAUGCUGAACAGCCCCUAACACAUUGCCUAAAUAAAUACUAACAUUAUAUGUGUGCAAUGAAGUAUUCUUUUGCUAAAAGCAAAACUUUCAUAUGGUCUUACAAUAAGCCACUUGUAAGACUAGUUUUAAAUAAUUACUGAUACAAAUGCUGCCACUGCCCCCAAAGAAACCUGAAUAAAAUUAUGUUAGGCUGCACUAAUUUCAGUGUCAAGCUAUUUAACUCUGCUGAUAGUCAUUUUUUUAAAGAUCUUUUGAUCUUUAAAUUGAGAGAGUUGAACUAAAUAAUCUUUUAGAUAUCUUCUAGUUUAAUAUUCUAAGAUUCUAGUAAAUAUAUUGUGUUUGGUCAGGUGUGGUGGCUCAUGCCUGUAAUCCCAACAUUUUCAGAGGCUG